UACAGAGGUCUCAAGCGUUGUUCGGAUUCAUUGGGCGUAAAGAGCUCGUAGGCGGCUUGUCACGUCGGAUGUGAAAGCCCGGGGCUUAACCCCGGGUCUGCAUUCGAUACGGGCUAGCUAGAGUGUGGUAGGGGAGAUCGGAAUUCCUGGUGUAGCGGUGAAAUGCGCAGAUAUCAGGAGGAACACCGGUGGCGAAGGCGGAUCUCUGGGCCAUUACUGACGCUGAGGAGCGAAAGCGUGGGGAGCGAACAGG
rnacentral:rRNA from 1 species